GUGGGGAAUAUUGGGCAAUGGGCGAAAGCCUGACCCAGCAACGCCGCGUGAGGGAAGAAGGUUUUCGGAUCGUAAACCUCUGUCCUUAGUGAAGAGAAAGAGACGGUAGCUAAGGAGGAAGCCCCGGCUAACUACGUGCCAGCAGCCGCGGUAAUACGUAGGGGGCGAGCGUUGUCCGGAAUGAUUGGGCGUAAAGGGCGCGUAGGCGGCCUGUUAAGUCCGGAGUGAAAUUCCUGCUUUCAAGGUAGGAAGUGCUUUGGAAACUGGCGGGCUGGAGUGCAGGAGAGGUUAGCGGAAUUCCCGGUGUAGCGGUGAAAUGCGUAGAGAUCGGGAGGAACACCAGUGGCGAAGGCGGCUAACUGGACUGUAACUGACGCUGAGGCGCGAAAGUGUGGGGAGCAAACAGGAUUAGAUACCCCUGUAGUCC
rnacentral:rRNA from 1 species